AUUGAACGCUGGCGGCAGGCUUAACACAUGCAAGUCGAGCGAGCGGCGGACGGGUGAGUAAUGUAUGGGAAACUGCCUGAUGGAGGGGGAUAACUACUGGAAACGGUAGCUAAUACCGCAUACCAUCAGAGUUGCCCAGAUGGGAUUCGCUAGUAGGGGGGGUAAGUGCUCACCUAGGCGACGAUCCCUAGCUGGUCUGAUAGGAUGACCAGCACACAUGGAACGGAUACACGGUCCAGACUCCUACGGGAGGCAGCAGUGGGGAAUAUUGCACAAUGGGCGCAAGCCUGAUGCAGCCAUGCCGCUUGUGUGAAGAAGGCCUUCGGGUUGUAAAGCACUUUCAGCGAGGAGGCGUUACUCGCAGAAGAAGCACCGGCUAACUCCGUGCCAGCAGCCGCGGUAAUAC
rnacentral:rRNA from 1 species